UGGACUACAACUCCCAUCAUCCCUGGCCAUUGGCUAUGCUGGCCAGGGCUGAUGGGGGUUGUAGUC